rnacentral:rRNA from 1 species
GCCUACCAUGCAAGUCGAGCGGCAGCGGGAAAAGUAGCUUGCUACUUUUGCCGGCGAGCGGCGGACGGGUGAGUAAUGCCUGGGGAUCUGCCCAGUCGAGGGGGAUAACAGUUGGAAACGACUGCUAAUACCGCAUACGCCCUACGGGGGAAAGGAGGGGACCUUCGGGCCUUUCGCGAUUGGAUGAACCCAGGUGGGAUUAGCUAGUUGGUGGGGUAAUGGCUCACCAAGGCGACGAUCCCUAGCUGGUCUGAGAGGAUGAUCAGCCACACUGGAACUGAACACGGUCCAGACUCCUACGGGAGGCAGCAGUGGGUAAUAUUGCACAAUGGGCGAAACCCUGAUGCACCC